UGUCAAAUUAUUUGGGAAAAGACUUAAUGUUUGCGUGUCUAAACAACAUUCAGUUGUUCCAAGUCAAAUAUUUGAGCUGGAGGAUGGUACCAGCAGCUACAAAGAUUUUGCAAUGAGCAAAAAUAAUCGCUUUACAAGUGCUGGCCAAGCAUCUAAGAAUAUAAUCCAGCCACCCUCCUGUGUUUUGCAUUAUUAUAAUGUUCCAUUGUGUGUCACAGAAGAGACCUUCACAAAGUUGUGUAAUGACCAUGAAGUUCUUACAUUCAUCAAAUAUAAAGUGUUUGAUGCAAAACCUUCAGCCAAAACACUUUCUGGGCUAUUAGAAUGGGAGUGCAAAACUGAUGCAGUAGAAGCCCUUACGGCACUGAAUCACUAUCAGAUAAGAGUGCCGAGUAAGUAAAAUGCUUUAUUUGUGUUGUAAUUAUGUAGUGGCAGUUACCAUCACAGAAACAUUCAUGGUAAUAUAAAAAUAACACUUAAUAGGCUUCUUAAAAAAUACAGAUAAAUACAAA
rnacentral:lncRNA from 1 species